UACAGAGGAGCCAAGCGUUGUCCGGAUUGACUGGGCGUAAAGCGCACGCAGGCGGUGGUGCGCGUGGGGUGUGAAAUCUGGCCGCUUAACGGCCAGGCGCCAUCCCAUACGGCGCGACUGGAGUGAUGCAGAGGUCGAUGGAAUUGCCGGUGUAGUGGUGAAAUGCGUAGAGAUCGGCAGGAACACCCAGGGGGAAACCAGUCGACUGGGCAUCUACUGACGCUGAGGUGCGAGAGCGUGGGGAGCGAACCGG
rnacentral:rRNA from 1 species